rnacentral:lncRNA from 1 species
UUAUUCUAUAAAGUGAGUCCUUCGAUUUAUAAGAUCUAAUUCAUUAUGAUUUUACACAACAAUUUUUUUUGUCUUUUAGUUAUUUGACACGAAUUCGCUCUGUUUUUUUAAAGAAAAAGUAACACAAAUCCACUUUGUUGUAUUGCAGACACCAAAGAACUACGAAUGCGUUAAUUUAAAUUUAACUACUAGAAACAUUGAUCCAAUUACUCUUGUCACCAAUUCAGUUAGUGGAUUUUUAUCCAACUAAACAAUUUCUAUUUUUUAGCUCGUGGCUAAGGUGAGCUAAUAAAAAUUAGAAAUCAAUCCAAAAAUAAAAAUAUCUAUAAGUUAGAAGAAUCAAUCAAUUAGAAGAAAUAGAGAAAGAAACUACAAUUUAUAUAUCCUUAAUGCUCACAACAAACUAAUAAGAAGCUUAAUUUGUAGAGGUUGUUAGUUCACAAGCCCCCUCCAACUCCAAUCAUGAUGUAUAAUAAUUUUCUUAUCAAAUUGGAGGGGAGUCUCUAACAUUAGUCCCUUGAUAAGGGUAAAAAGAAAGGGUUAAGCUAAGUGAACACAUUUUGAGGAGAAGAUGGAGGAAACACUAUGAAACAAGCCCACCACAAUUCCCACUUUGACUUGGCCCCUUUUGGGGAUCAUACGGCAAGAAAUAUUAUUCUUGUUAAUGGACAAAUGACUAUGGUACAUCAUUUCCCUUCUUGUGAUCAUCACCACUCCCAUAUUUGCCUUCAUCUUAAUUAAUUCUUCACUCUUUCAAGAUCAAGUUUGUGUUUAACCUCUCUACUCUCUACUCUUACUCAAUCACCACUCAAGACUCAAGAGGCUUCUCUUUUAGUUAGCUCUAUAUUUUUUGUUUUUCAUUCACACUUCCACUUAUAUAGAAUUUUGAGUAGUUAUCCUUUAGAAUACGGACUCUUGACCUAAAACUUCAAAUUAUUAAUGUUAUCUUUUGAAUAUUCAAUUCAAUUGCCAAAACUUUGUUAAAAUUAUAAACUAUAAUAUAUAUAUAUAUAUAUAUAUAUAUAUAUAUAUAUAUAUAUAUUUGGUUUAUUAAUAAUGAUUGAUAUAAAUUAAUUUAUUCUAUAAAGUGAGUCCUUCGAUUUAUAAGAUCUAAUUCAUUAUGAUUUUACACAACAAUUUUUUUUGUCUUUUAGUUAUUUGACACGAAUUCGCUCUGUUUUUUUAAAGAAAAAGUAACACAAAUCCACUUUGUUGUAUUGCAGACACCAAAGAACUACGAAUGCGUUAAUUUAAAUUUAACUACUAGAAACAUUGAUCCAAUUACUCUUGUCACCAAUUCAGUUAGUGGAUUUUUAUCCAACUAAACAAUUUCUAUUUUUUAGCUCGUGGCUAAGGUGAGCUAAUAAAAAUUAGAAAUCAAUCCAAAAAUAAAAAUAUCUAUAAGUUAGAAGAAUCAAUCAAUUAGAAGAAAUAGAGAAAGAAACUACAAUUUAUAUAUCCUUAAUGCUCACAACAAACUAAUAAGAAGCUUAAUUUGUAGAGGUUGUUAGUUCACAAGCCCCCUCCAACUCCAAUCAUGAUGUAUAAUAAUUUUCUUAUCAAAUUGGAGGGGAGUCUCUAACAUUAGUCCCUUGAUAAGGGUAAAAAGAAAGGGUUAAGCUAAGUGAACACAUUUUGAGGAGAAGAUGGAGGAAACACUAUGAAACAAGCCCACCACAAUUCCCACUUUGACUUGGCCCCUUUUGGGGAUCAUACGGCAAGAAAUAUUAUUCUUGUUAAUGGACAAAUGACUAUGGUACAUCAUUUCCCUUCUUGUGAUCAUCACCACUCCCAUAUUUGCCUUCAUCUUAAUUAAUUCUUCACUCUUUCAAGAUCAAGUUUGUGUUUAACCUCUCUACUCUCUACUCUUACUCAAUCACCACUCAAGACUCAAGAGGCUUCUCUUUUAGUUAGCUCUAUAUUUUUUGUUUUUCAUUCACACUUCCACUUAUAUAGAAUUUUGAGUAGUUAUCCUUUAGAAUACGGACUCUUGACCUAAAACUUCAAAUUAU